UUUUCUUUUCCUUUUUGUGUCAUCAGAUCCUGUGUAUAACUCUACAUCUUCGAUAUCUGGAGUAUCUGCUACAACUGGAGUUGCUGUAGCUGCCUAAGGCGAGAUGGGCUACUGAUGUUGAGAAUAUAUUAUCGACAUUGACGAGAGUUUCAUGACUGAAAACUGAACGGAUGCAAAUAAGUGUUGGAAGUCACGAAACUGAUGUCGCGACGAGAUAACCAAUAACCUUGUCUGACUGAGCGACCUUCACCUUCAAGAUUACAGGUAACAAUAUUACUAUUGAAGCUGGUACAUCAUUGUUUUGAUGCAUUUGAUUUGACUCUGUAACUGCAUCGUUCAAACGAUUUCUUUAAAACUACUUAGGCACUUGAACUGACAAGUUUAACUUCCAUCUCUAAACGAAAAAUAGACAAAUGGAUUGAGAGCCUUGAAAACGCCCUAAAUAUAUCCAGUUCAAAAGCGUCUGUUUAGAGAUUCAAACUUGGGCAAUCCGCGCCAAAGAGCCGUUGCCCCAUCUGAUAUAAGUCUUUUCUUUGAAAAAAAAUUUCAUAUCUCAAACUGACUUUAUCUGGUAACUUUUCUUACGUCAAACACUGGAUUUUCGAGCUCUUGUGACCUUAUGUGGUUGCGAGCACCAUAGAACUCUUACUAAACUAAAGUAAAACACUGAAAUUUUCUUCAUAGCAUAAAACUGUUACUCAACUAAACUAAAACAGUUAAUUUUUUUUCAUAACCUAAAAUUCUCACUAAACUAAACUAAAACACGGCGCACUCAUAUGACCUUAUGCAGUUGCAGGCGCCGUAAAACACUUAC